rnacentral:lncRNA from 1 species
GACAACAACAGGCAGGCGCUGGACAGCGCACGUCACCAGCCACAGGCGCAGCCUUGGCCUGCGAGCCAGAGACAGGACCCAAGGGUGCACCCAAAAAGUGUACCCACUCUGUCGCUUCCAACUUGACCUGGCAUAGACAGCCACGGGGGAGAAAGCGUAGGGUUCUGCCAAUAAGAGGAAGGGUGUGGGGAUGGAGACCCCAUGCAGCAAAAAGGCAUACAACGCCCAGGGGACUUGGACCAGGGGCUAAGAGUUAGAAGUCAUCUCCUGGAAAAAUGCUUGCUCCCACAGCAGCACAACCAGCAGGAGGCAUCCCUGCCCAGUACAGGCAGCCUGGAGCGCAUCCCUGCCGAGCCCAAGGAGCAAAAGACGACCCAGGCUACACCCAGCAGGUUUUGAGGCCUAGUCCACUGCUGCAAGCUCUUCCUAGGUCCCAGCUGCCACGGGCCGUGCUAUGGAGCCAGCCCACUGCCCAACAAUGUGCGGCAGGAGCAGGCUGCAGGCCACGCCUUACCUCUACUGGACGAGGCCCUGGACCCCCGCACACCAAUACUAGGGGAGGCUGGCUGGCUCGCAAGGGGGCAGGUGAGGCAGUAACAAAGGUAUUAACAUCCCAGACACACCGCUCGUCUCCGAAGCACCCCACGCCCCUGAAUCCAGAGACCCGGGUGUCUGCCCUGACAACGCCCGCAGGAAACCUGGGUUGUGAGCUUACCUGUACUAAGAUUGGCCUGGUGAUACCAUGGUGCUGAGCUGGAGCAAGAAAAGAGCCAGAAGGAACAGCCAGGCCCCCUGACCUCCCAGGCAGCACCGUGGAGUGCCGCCACGUGUACAGCACAGCACAGCACAGCACAGCACCAGGGGACAGGCCACUUACUGAAGGGAAUGGGAAGCCCUGGUGCUCAGGAAGAAUGUUUCAGCCUCUAGACUGAACAGGGAGAAGCUGGACCUUGAGAGGAUCCCACAUCCUUGCUUCACCCCCUGCACCAGCAGGUGAAGGGCUGAGCUCAGGGGUUUGCAGCUGGUGCUCUGGGCACUCUCCCAUGCCCUCUGGCAAUGACAGCUCAGAAAAGGCAUCCCAAGCACUUAGCAACCGCUCUUUAUUGUAAUCACUUUACCGCUGGGGACCUGGAAGUAAGCAGAGAAAGGGUUUGCCUAGCAAGUCAGAAGCAAAGCAAAGAACGGACCCAGGAGUCCUGCCUCCCUCCUCCCACUCACAUCACACAUGACUCUCUGGCGGCACUCACAGAUCCCCCUUAGGAUCAGGCUAGGCCCACCCUGAGCUCGAGCCCCCGCCCCCCAGACUCCCACUUUCAGCAGCCUUGUCCUUCUGCAGCCAGAGACGGAGGGUCACAGCAAGGGCUCCAGGACGCUGGCCCUGGCUCUCUGGAUGCAGUUCAGAGAAGGGAUCUGAUGUGAAGGUGCAGGUGCUGAUCGCUGGAGUCCUUGGAGCUUGGAUCCACGCAAGGAGAGUGGCCUGUGAGCCUGCAGACUGCCUGCCGCCACACCGAACCGAUGAGGCGCCUCAUGGUAUUCUUCAGUACCAUCCAGCGGUCAAGGGGCACCUACGUUGAGCACGUCACAGGCCAGUACCAGUACAAGUACAAAGCUACCUGACCAAGACCACCCACUAAAAGCAAGAGCGAGCGGACAGAUGGGCUGAACACCCUCCACACACACAGCAUACACCUACAAAGACCUUGACUAUUCCCCACCCCAGUGACUGUACACCGCAUGUUAAAGCCACCAUCU